CGCCCCAGUACACGAGUAUACAGUGGGUGCGCUCGCGUGUGUACGUGCGUGCGUGUGCGUACGGCGCGGGAGUGUGUGUGUGUGUGUGUGUGUGUGCGUGCGCGCGUGUCAUUAUAACACGAAAAGCGAUUCUCGUCCAUUCAUGCAAAAACAUUUUACCGUCACGAAUAUCGCCGUCGCCGCCCGGAUGGAGUAGCGUAGCCUACUGCUAUACGGCGUGUCCAGGCGAACAUGAGCGAUCCCGGGGGAUAGACGUGAUGACGCCGCCGGGUACGCCACCCAAAACGAAAAGUACAGGUAAUACCCGAAUUUUUAUUUAUUGUAUGUAUAUACUUAAAUAUUUGUUAUUGAUAAUAAUAUUAAUAUUAUCUAUACGUAUUGUCUUUUUUCGUCAAAAAAAAAUUGUCGAGUACUUGUCUAGGAACAGACACAGCUGGGGGGCUUGGGGGCUAAGUCCCUUCAGUUUUAUAAAUACCUACCCCCCAUAAUUAUAUUUUUGCUGACCCUAAAUAAUUAAUUGUCAACCCUCAGGUUGAGAAACUCGGCUCUAGUCGAUAGAAAAUUGAAGAUUUUGGUGAGAGGGAGCUGUAGGUGUGGGUUCCGAGGAUUUUAAUUAAUUAAAGAUAAUAGGAUAUACGAUUUUAUUGUUUAUUGAAGAAAAAUGUAUAUAAUGUACCAUUCACUGUACUUAUACAUGGGAGGACCAACCAAAGUCUAAAAGUGUCGAACGCAUGACAAAUAUUAUUAUUUUAUAAUGUGAAACGAAAAUAAAAUUAGACACCGAACUCCUCUUUCCCAAAUUGUACAUUUUAAUAAAUAGAAUAAAUGAGUAUUCUUUUUUGGAAAACUAUUGAAAACUGUAAUUAAAGAAAAAAAAAGCGUCCUUGGAUAAUAGAGACGAGUCAGCCACUGUCAUAAGUAAUUUAAUGUAUAUCUGUAAACAACGAUAAACUAUUACUAAUAAAAAAAACGAUUCUGAGCGGAGUUCAGUUGAUAGUGAUGCUUUGUCAAUAAUAUGGAUGUCACAUUAUGGUAAAAUAAUUUAAUAGGCAUUAUAUAUUUUCUUUAAUAAUAUUUGUUUAAUAUUGUACUGAUUAUCCCGUUUUCCCUGCGUUUUUCCCAGUUUUUUUCCCGGUUUUUCAUAUUUCUGAGAAAAUCGAAAAUGACCUCCUUAAAGUACCUUCCCAGUCAGAUUUACUUUCAGAAAAAGUACUAUCAUUGUAAAUCGGAGCAAAAUUGCUGGUAGAAAAGUUGUUCACAGGAAAAUUUAAUAGGGUCGAAAUAUUUUUCAAUUAAUAUAUACCUACAUUUCGUACAUUUUCCCGUUUUUCCAAGAUUUUAUUCCGAUUUCCCCCAGUACUUACUGAAUAAAAUUACGUAUAAAACUCGAAAAAUUAAAAUUUCAAUAUAUAGCUCAAAAAUGACUUGAAUAAUAUGCAAUUCAGAUUAUAUUAUUUUUCUGUUUAUUUGAAAUUGGAAACAAAAAAAAAAAUGUAUCCAUCUAUUAUAGGUAUACUCAGUGAUGUAUUUGGGGAGUUUCCUAACUCCUGGCAAUAUUUUUUCUCCACAAAUAUUAACAUAGCUUCAUUACGAAUUCAUUCCUGAUUAUAAUAUAACUUAAAACCUUAUAAGUGGUAAAUGGAGAGGAGUGGUAGAUUAUUAACAUGCCGUCCGCCAUACCACCACACCUGCUCUCCUCCGACCGAAACUUAAAAGUGGAAUAUCUCGUCAAUGACGCGACAGAAAUCAAAAAUGUCAACACUAAAAUUUAUUUCAACACUAAUACUCCUUCUAUUUAUGGACUUUUUAAUAUAGGUUACCGUUUGAAAAUAAAAAGUACGUAGUGGUUUUACCUCCAAAAAUAAGAGUGACAGAAAAUAACAUAAAUAUAAAAUUGUAGAGCAGCUUUUGUCUUAAAUUUUCUAGAAAACAAAUUCCAACAAAAAGUUAAUACUUACCGAUAUAAUAAAUAUGUACCAACUUAAAUAGAUCACUCGAUAUGUAGUUUGUUUUAAAAUCGUCUAUUCAACAUAAUCGUCCCUCAAAGUCGGACUUCGAAAUCCUCUAGAUAUUUUAUUGCUGCUGGACCAUAUUCAUGCAGCGCAAUUACACUUUCUUCGAAUUUCUUCUUUGGCACUCCUUCAUAAUAUGUCGCCUAGUUUUUAUGACCCCAUAUUCACAUAGUGGGAAGUUGAUCAUAUCUAAUUUAUGUAGGAAAUAGUUACACUUCCCUUGCUUCGUCCUUAUAUGGUUUAAGGCUUUCCGUUAUGCUCUAUUUUGGUAAAAUCUUGGGUUUUGCUAGCAGGGUUUUUAAUAGUGGAAUAAUUUCGGACGUAUACGUUUGUUAAUCUAUUUACCCACAUCUCCCCUAUUGUUUUAUUAAUUGAUUAUAUAGACUCAUAUAAGGUUACUAUGUCCUUUAAUAUCGGUAAGUCAGUGGACAAUGUCUUUGUUUUUAAUCUUUAACCGAUCAUAUAUAUGCAUGUUAACAUUGAAAUUUUAAUUUUGUUAGUAAUCUAUAUAUAGUUUCAUAGUUUGUAGAUAAAAAUGUCGGAGGAAAAAAUGUCCGGAGGUAAAAAUUCCCGAUGUCCGGCUUGUACACUUUAGGUAUAGCUAGAUAAUUAUAACAACCAAACCGAAGAAUGGAAUCUUUUGGUCAAUUUGAUCUUUAAAAGUAAUAAAAAUAUUACUUUUAAGACCAAAAUUAAGACAAUUAUUAUACCUAUUAAUAUUACUAUUGCGUAUGAAAAUUAUAUUCAAUUUAUUAUUUAUAUUUAUAAAUUAUAAUUAUAUAAGUAUUAUAUUUUACUUCCAGACAUUUUUCCUCACACAUUGUUUCCUCGGAUAUUCUGAUAGAACCCCAGUUUAAUAUUCACAAUUGUGUAUGGAAAAUUGACAUAUACUCGAAGGGAGGCGUACACUAUUUGGCCAUAUACUUCAAAUUUAUUGCAUUUGGUUACAUUUUGCAUGACAGUGAUGAUAUUCUAAAAUAAUGUUUAUGAUGUAUAGAUACAUUAUGAUAAUAUUAUUACAUGUAUGUAUGUUAUAAGAGUCGUUCGAUUAAAAAUGAAAAAAAAUCAACACUUAAAACGGGUUUUAAUAAUAAUAUAUGACGAAGACGGCUGAGUUUUUAAUAAUUUUCAGUAUUACACAUUAUAAAUUACAUUUCAGUUUUAGAUUCUGAGGUAGGUAUCGAAGUGAAAACUUAAAAAAAAACUUUUUUUGGUUAAAUAAAUGUUUGAAUUUUACUUUGUCACACCUUAAAUGAUGCUGAUCUUUUCGCUUUAUGGAACAUUAUUUGUACAAUAUUUUGAAAUUUCUAAUGCUUUUUCAAAAAAUGUUAUUUUAUUUUAUUUUUUUUUUUUGGUCAGAUAAAUGCUAUAAUUUUUAAUUCAAUUCCUCAAAAGAUAUGGAAUUCCACUUUUAAAUUCUUUUUGGUUUUUAUUGAUUUCUGAGAUUCAUUAGCAAAUAGGAGGAAAAAAACGCGAUUCUAAAUUACUUCGCUUAGAAUUGGUUUUCGUUUACAUUGAUUUAUUGCAUACAAUAUAUUAACUAAAUUACUUUGUGUAACCUAUCAUAAUUCUCAACUGCGGUAGCCUAAACGUAAGUAGUAUUAACUUUUUUAAAAUAUAUGUGUUUUUUUUUGAAAUAUUAAAAGAUUCCAACUCAUUUUUUUCAAUUUAGUUAUUUAUUUAUUUUUAUCAAUGUUUAUUUCCUGUGUAAACACACGAAUUAUUUUUUUUUUGUGAUAAAAAUGAUAACAUUUAAUUUUAAGGGAAAACAUAACCUUUCCCUUCAACAUCAAAUUUAGUCUUAUAAGGCUUAAAGCUAUUUUGAUAAUACCAGUUAUUUUUGUUUUGUGUAUAAUAUCCAUGUCCAAGAAACUAAAACUUGCCUUGUUCUCCUAAAUUAAUCAUUAAAGGUGUUUAAUUUAAUUUAAUUUAAAGGGUUAAUAAUAGGCUUUUAACUUAGAAUACUUAGAUUAUUAUUAUUAAUAUUAUGAUAUGAUUGUAUAAUUUGAUAUAGUUCAUACGUAUUAAAUAAAACACGGAAAUAUGCAAUAAACUAAAACACUCUAUAAAUAUUUAAAAAAAAAAAAUUUAUUUCUAAAAAAAUUUGAAAAAAAAUUACAGAUAAUUUUGUGACACAACUCUAAUAGAAGAGGUACUAUAGAUAUAAAGUACUUUUAGACUCUAGAAUCUAGAUAAAAUUCUAAUAAGAGGGAGUCCAUAAAAGUCCUCUAGUGCACUAGGGAUGUCCGUGCAUGGAAGUUACUGUGCUGUUAGGAUACUCAUCAUUACGUCUUAUUAAAUUUAUAAUAUAUUUAUCGAUAAUCAAAUUAUCGGCUCGGAAAAAUUGAUAAAUACAACACUUAUUGACUUAUAAGAUAUUUGAUAAGUAUCUGAAAUAAAUUUGACCAGUUUUUGUAAAUCCCUAAACAUUUUCGUAGACAUGAGACUUAUUUUAGGAAACCGGUAUUCUUUAUUUACCUACACUUGAUAAAUAUCGGAGCAGCCUGCUGAAAACCAGAAGUGUCCCGCCUAAACUGGGAUGAAUAGCAGCAAAAACAUGAAAUUUCUUCAAAUACGUAAUUUUCGUAUAUUAUAUUAUGCGGUGUUUAAUUUUUUAAAUUUUAUAGUUACCUGCCGGCUACCAUAUAUAUUUACUAUAUUCAUCAUCAUCUAUAUUAUAUACUAUAUUAUAUUAUAAUAUAUAUUACGCGUAUUAUAAUAUAGGACAUAGGUAGUUGGUUUGAAAGUUACGACUUUUUUAUAGGUCUUUAUUUCUAUUUUUAAAAUCACGUGAUAAUAGGUACAUCAUUAUAUAAUAUUAUCGAUAUUUAUACCUAACACGAUAAAUUUGUUGUAUUUUUUCGCCGUCGUCGUCGCGUCGCGUUGCAUUUCAUCGCAAAUCGUGCAAUUAUAUAAUACAACGAUAAUAAUCUAUAUACUACCGUAUUUAUAACAUAUAUUUACUGUCGUAGUUAAUAUCAACAAAUAUUAUGGAAACGCGCCGCGCAAUUACCGCAUCUCUAUGAAGAACUUACAACGAUAGUAUUAUUACAAUGCUACUUAUAUAGCUGAUAAUUUAUCAGACGAUAUAUUUGUAUAUGUCAUUAUAAUAUUACUAAUACCUACAGUUACGAUAGUAAAUAUACCAUAUAGUUAACACGAUAAUUUAAAAACACUACCUGUCAUCACUAUAUUAUGUAUUGGUCUGUGUCUAUGCAUCGUCGUCAGUAAGCGUAUAAACGACGGGCAAGUUAAAAUUUCAAACGUACGUUCGAUUAUACGAUUGUGACGACGAAUAAUAUUAUUGCUUCGUAUUAAAAUGUCCGUCACGUUUCCAAACCAAAAAUCUCGACGUCCCGAAUACUAAAUAUUAAUAGGUAAUAAUAAUAUGUCGUAUAGGUAGUAAUAAAAUAAUUACGAAAAAAAAUCUCAUUUACCACCUAUGUAUACGCAAUCCAUUUUGAAUAUACCUAUAUACACAUUGUAUUUAUAGUAUGGUCAGUUUUUCAUGGUCAAAAAAUAUGUAAAGACGUAAACGUAUAUUAGGUAAUGGUUUAUCGUAAUCGCGCAAAGGCUGCAUAUAAACGAGUAUAUUAUAAUUAUUAUUAUUAUUAUUAUUAUUUAUAUCAUUCGCAUAUUUUUUUUAUCCAGUAUGCGUACGUGAGCGUUAAAAUCGUCCGAUCGAGGUUAUAUUAGUAAAAAAUUCACUGAAAACUGUAUAUCUACUCAUCGCAUGGUCGAUGAUCGUUGUUUUUAUUGGUUCUACUAUGAAACAUGCAAGCCCGGAUUAAGAUGAUUUUGGGCCUGAGGCCAAACAAUUUUAGGGGUCCAUACACAUAUUCAAAAUAUUGGUGUUUAUAUAGUACUUUAUAUCAGCCAAGGCCAGAAGCCCACAAUAUUACGAUAUUCAAGGGCCUGAGGCCAUUACCCCCUCUCCCCCUUUAUCCGGGCCUGGAAACGUGUCCUUCAGUGCUAGGGUGCGAGGAUCCAGGAAGAGCACUGGGGACAUGUACUUCAUCCUGUUUGUCAAAAAAAAAAAAUUAUAAAACAAUUAUAUUUUUCAGAUUCAAAAUGUGACAAAGAAUAUAGUGGUUUUACAAAGAUGUUUUUUUUUUAUUACUGUGAUAAAAAUUUCUACCAGAAAUCUUGUUUCAAUAUGUAUGUGUGGCACCAUUUUUGAUAGAAAAUAUUGUCUGGAAUCUAGAUAGUACUUUAGGGAAGUAAUUUUGAUUUUCUAAGUAGUUUCCAUAAUAUCUGAGAAAACCCGGGAUAAAACGCAAGAAAAUUGGGAAAUUUAUGAAAAUAAUGUUUUUUAUUAUUUUUAAUUUUGUUAUUUGUUUCAAUUCAGGUAAAAAUAUUCGCAUGAACUUGAAAUUUGAACAGAAAACUUAUAAUUACCUUUUCUAGGAGCAAUAAAAUUUUAAAACAAUUUUGGCCAUUUUUGAGCUGUUUAUAGACAUUUUAAUUUUGCAAGUUUUUUACGUAAUUUUUAUUUUACUCUGUAGUAAAAUUGUUAGACUAAACAGAAAUUAUUUAACAGGAGGUUCAUUGAAGCCGUAAUUUGUAGUCAAAAAAAAAAAAAAAUAAUUAAGCUUAAUGUCAUUUUAAUGUAGUCAUUUUUUUUUUUUUUAUGAAUAAUAUUAAAUUUUGACAAAAAUUGUUAGAGUAAAAAUUAUGUGAAACAUUUCUAACUAUUCAUAUUUUUUUUGUUUCGUUACAAAGAAGUGAUUUUUUUUUAUCUGUGUAAAAUUUUUCUAUCAGCAAUUUUGCUCUAAUUUAAAAUGAUAGCAAUUAUUCUGAAAAUAAAUUUGACUGGGGAUGUAUUUUAAAGAGGAAAUUUUUCGAUUUCUCAACUAAUUUGAAAAACUAGGAAAAAAAACAUGGGAUAACUUGGAAUAACUUAAGAAAAAUGGGAAAAUCGGUACUUUAAACAAAUAUUAUUAAAGAAAAUAUAUAUAAUGUGUAUUUAAUUAUUUUACCAUAAUAUGAAAUAUAUAUUGUUGAUAAAGCAUCAAUAUCAACUAAACUCCGCUCAGAAUUAUAUUUUCGUUAGCAAUGGUUUAUUGUUGCUGACAGGUAUAAAUUAAAUUACUUACAAGAGUGGCUGCACCCGACCCCAUUCUUCUAAGACGUCUUUUUUAUUUUGAACUUACGUAUAUUGUCGAUUUAAGAACGAUAGUGAAGUCAAAAUUGAGUGGACUGACUUAUUUUUGAAAUUAUAGCUUUUUGAAGUUCAAAUAUUAUAUGGAUAUUAUGUGUGUUAUGUUAAAUAACUCAAUAUUGACUGUAUUAUUGUUUAUCUGUCGUAGUUUAGUGGUGGUACUGACAUGUUGUCAACCCAGAGAUCGCAAGUUCAAAUCCGAGUUCAGAAACAAAUGCAUUUUGGAUGCAUCUAGAGAUCCAAGUCGUCACUCACUCGGACUAUAUUAAUUGAAAAACACCCCUAGAUUUGCAGGGAAGUUUGCAACUUUUAUACCAGAAAUCUUGCUUCAAUAUAUCAAGUAUAGGGUGUAACAACUUUUCUAAAAGGAAAUUUCAUUAUAGUUUAGAGAGAUCAUUUUUUGAUUUUCCAUGUGGUUUUCAUAAUAAUUAGGAAAAAACCGAGAUAAAGUGUCGAAAAAACGGGAAAAUUUACGAAAAUAAUGUUUUUUUAUUAUUCAGUUGAACAUAUUCGUAGUGACUUGAAAUUUAGAUAGAAAACUUAUGUUUGCCUUUUCUAAACGUGGUAAAACUGAAAAAACAUUUGAGCCAUAUUUGAGCCAUUUAUAGACAUUUUAAUUUUGUGAAUAAUUUUUAUUUGGUAGGUCUCUGUUGAUAAAAUUUUCAGACUAAAGAAAAAUGCUUAAAAAUUUAACAGAAAAUUGAAGGAGGUUAAUUAUAAGCCAUAUUUUGUGGUCAAAACAAAAAAAAUUGAGUU
rnacentral:lncRNA from 1 species